GAUGAACGCUGGCGGCGUGCCUAAUACAUGCAAGUCGAGCGAACAGAUGAGGAGCUUGCUCCUCUGACGUUAGCGGCGGACGGGUGAGUAACACGUGGAUAACCUACCUAUAAGACUGGGAUAACUUCGGGAAACCGGAGCUAAUACCGGAUAAUAUAUUGAACCGCAUGGUUCAAUAGUGAAAGACGGUUUUGCUGUCACUUAUAGAUGGAUCCGCGCCGCAUUAGCUAGUUGGUAAGUUAACGGCUUACCAAGGCAACGAUGCGUAGCCGACCUGAGAGGGUGAUAGGCCACACUGGAACUGAGACACGGUCCAGACUCCUACGGGAGGCAGCAGUAGGGAAUCUUACGCAAUGGGCGAAAGCGUGACGGAGCAACGCCGCGUGAGUGAUGAAGGUCUUCGGAUCGUAAAACUCUGUUAUUAGGGAAGAACAAAUGUGUAAGUAACUAUGCACGUAUUGACGGUACCUAAUCAGAAAGCCACGGCUAACUACGUG
rnacentral:rRNA from 1 species